rnacentral:lncRNA from 1 species
CCCUGUUUUGUCCUUGAUUUAGACCUGGAUCCACCACUGAUAUAAAUUCGAUAAAAGUGAAUUAAAUGUUUAUGAAAAAAAUGGAUUUUGUCUAUAUUCAGCCAUAUACUUUGAUUUUUUUAUAAAUUCAUGCUCGUCUCUAGAUCUGCAAGUGUUGAUCGGGAUUAAACACGUGUUACUAUAUGAUCCAAUCGCAGCUUACCGCCCAAAAUUGAUGACAUAAGUUGAAUGAUUUUCUUCUAGAUUUGCUGCUUAUUUGGACGUGUAUUACAUGAACACUUUUUGUUUAUAGGAUCAAUCGUGCAUUGGUGAGUUGAUAGGGAUUUUAUCUUUUGAUAUUAGAUUUGAUUUUUAUUUACUUAUUUCCUGUCUUAUUUUUAUUGAAAUAUACAC